GAUCUGGUAGUGGAAGCGGUUACCACGCCGAGGGGAGAUGCAGGUUCGAAUCCUGCUCAGAUCG
rnacentral:tRNA from 1 species